CGCUAGCGAUUGGGUGAUGGUUCUCGUCCCCGGUUCCGGGGCGGGAUGAAAAGGGAACACGGUGCGGUCCUUCUCGGGAAACCGGAACGGACCAAGGCCGCGACUGCCCCCGCAACUGUAAGCGGUGAGCAAUGCCGAAACGCCACUGGCCGCAAGGCUGGGAAGGUCGGCAAAGCAACGACCCGCAAGUCAGGAGACCUGCCAUCAAACCAAAACCGAAA
rnacentral:ncRNA from 18 species